rnacentral:rRNA from 1 species
AUCGAAAGACCUUAUGCCUUUGGAGCGGCCGAUGUCUGAUUAGCUAGUUGGUAAGGUAAUGGCUUACCAAGGCAACGAUCAGUAGUUGGUCUGAGAGGACGACCAGCCACACUGGGACUGAGACACGGCCCAGACUCCUACGGGAGGCAGCAGUGGGGAAUUUUGGACAAUGGGCGCAAGCCUGAUCCAGCAAUGCCGCGUGAGUGAAGAAGGCCUUCGGGUUGUAAAGCUCUUUCAGUUGAGAAGAAAAGAUUGUGACUAAUAAUUGCAAUUCAUGACGGUAUCAACAGAAGAAGCACCGGCUAACUACGUGCCAGCAGCCGCGGUAAUACGUAGGGUGCGAGCGUUAAUCGGAAUUACUGGGCGUAAAGGGUGCGCAGGCGGUUCCGUAAGUCAGGGUGAAAUCCCCGGGCUUAACCUGGGAACUGCGUUGAAACUACAAGGCUAGAAGGCCGAGAUUCUUUAC